GUGAAUCAUCAAAUUUUUGAACGCAAAUUGCACUCUCUUCGGAGAGUAUGCCUGUUUGAGGGUCAGCCUAAAAAAAAUCGAAAAAGUCUCUGUUUCGCGUUGAUAUACGUCGGAAAUUGGGUCAAUUUAAACCUUUGGGUUUUAAGAGGUUAAAAAUAAUCUGUACGAAUCUACGCACGCAUCUAAGAUUUACUUCUAAUACGUUUCAGGUAAUCGAUCUUAAUGAGACGUGGCCG
rnacentral:misc_RNA from 1 species